AGUGAACGCUGGCGGUAGGCCUAACACAUGCAAGUCGAACGGCGGCACAGUAAGAGCUUGCUCUUACGGGUGGCGAGUGGCGGACGGGUGAGGAAUACAUCGGAAUCUACUUUUUCGUGGGGGAUAACGUAGAGAAACUUACGCUAAUACCGCAUACGACCUACGGGUGAAAGCAGGGGAUCUUCGGACCUUGCGCGAUUGAAUGAGCCGAUGUCGGAUUAGCUAGUUGGCGGGGUAAAGGCCCACCAAGGCGACGAUCCGUAGCUGGUCUGAGAGGAUGAUCAGCCACACUGGAACUGAGACACGGUCCAGACUCCUACGGGAGGCAGCAGUGGGGAAUAUUGGACAAUGGGCGCAAGCCUGAUCCAGCCAUACCGCGUGGGUGAAGAAGGCCUUCGGGUUGUAAAGCCCUUUUGUUGGGAAAGAAAAGCAGCAGGUUAAUACCCCGCUGUUCUGACGGUACCCAAAGAACAAGCACCGGCUAACUUCGUG
rnacentral:rRNA from 1 species